rnacentral:rRNA from 1 species
GACGAGGGGCUAGCGUUGUUCGGAAUUAGCUAGGGCGUAAAGCGAGUGUACGGUGGUUGUCCAAGUUGGAUGUGAAAGCCUUGAGCUACAACUCAAGAAAUGCGAUUCAGGACUGGGCGGCUAGAGGACCGGAGAGGAUAGUGGAAUUCCCAGUGUAGUGGUGAAAUACGUAGAGAUUGGGAAGAACACCAGUGGCGAAGGCGGCUCACUGGUCCGGUACUGACGACUGAGGUGGCGAAAAGCGUGGGGAGC